rnacentral:lncRNA from 1 species
AGGCGGGGGACGUGUGGAGGGAGUGGUGGAGGUGGAGGAGGAGGUGGAUGUCAGUACCAGGCGCUCUCCCAGGCCGCUCACGUCGAAGUGGAUAAGCUCAGGCAACUCGUCCAGCUCCUGAACGCCAGAUUAACAGAAUUGAGUUCGAGAAUGCUGGAGGCUGAGUCGAGACUACGCGAGGAACUGCAGCGAACGGCUUUCUUGGAACGAGCUCUCGAGAGGAGGAACUUGGACCCCGGCCUCGUUCCAGGCGAAAGCGGCAACACCCGCAGCAGCAGGUCGCCGAGGCACGCUGUAGAAGGCACAAGCAGGAGGUGCGGCCCGUCGGUGCUGGCCUGGGGCGACGGAACAACGGAAAAACCUCCUUAGGAACAAGCUCGACAUGGCGAGAGAAGAGAUCGAGCUGCUCCGCCAACACAUCGACUUGCUGCUUCGAAUGCGUCAGGAAGAUCUGAAGGUGUAUGAGUCAACGGUUGAUAAAUUCAGACAUACUUUAGCUGCUGGAAGUCAAUGGUAGCUUGGAAUUUGUUAUUAGGUGGUGUUUUAAGAGGAAUUAGUGGAGUUGUAAUUAUAGGUAGGUUCGUAAUGUUAUUUUGUCUUUUUUUAUAGAAAUUAGGAACAUAUUUAUAUACAGGUGCUAUGAUUUUUUUUUUUUUUUUUUUUUUUUUUUUGUCUAUAGGCUGUACAAUUUAUAGAAGGAAUUUUUGACUACAUAUAAUGAUAAUGUUAGAAUUAUAUUUACUAGAUUCUUAAUGUAGAGUAAUUUUAUAACCAAAGUUUCUAACACUUCCUGUCGAAAGUGAUAAAAUAAAACUUAGAUGUAAUUCUCCUUUUAGCUCAGAAAUAUGCCAAAAGAAAAUCUGUCUCAGGUUUUUAUCCAAAUCACACGACGUAAUGUAACAAGUAUUGAAUAUUUAAGAAUUCUAAUUUCCUUUGAGAUAUUUAUGGAGUAUUUUUACAAGCAUUUGACGUAAAAGAUUUCCUUUUGGAUGCCGAUAAGAAUAUUUUAUUUAUAAUCAUGAAAUAAGAAAGAAUUCGUUAUUUCUCAUCAAAUACUUGUAAAAAUGUCAUAUAAACAUUAACUAUACAAGACUUCCAGUUAUUCUUUAUUAUAUACUUAUAAGAAUGUCUUGCAAGUAUCACCUAUGAGAAAAUACUAUUUCCAAUUAGUGAUAUAUGAAAAAGAAAAAAAACUUUUCUUGGCAAUUCUAAAAAGAUUCAUUAGGCUUCAUUCUUCGGUGCUAGUGUAAACAAAAACAAACAAAAAACAAUUAAAAACCCAUUGUGAUUAAGGAAUUCUAGACCCUAGAUACCCUAUGUAUCAUAUUCACUAAGAAAUGUAAUUAAUGCACAUGUAUAUAAUGAACUGCUAAUUAAUUUCAGCCUGUUAAUUAAAUACAUACAUAUUAAAGUUUCUCAUUUACCAUUAAUAUAUUCACUUGUGUGGGAUGUACGUAAUAUGCAGUUUUAUUCAGUGAAAUAUAUAACACCUCAUACAUGAAAAUUUAUAUAAAGUAUAAAUUCUUACAUGCAUUUUCCUUUAAAUGAUUUUCAUAUCUUUUGUACUCUUUGACAAUUAAAUGUAGUUCAAGAGGGGACUAUUACAAACAAAAGGGUACAUAAUUUUAAAACUCACAAAGCUAAUUAUUGGGAUUGGCAUUCCCAAAAUCAAAUGUACUUUGUAUUAAUUGCCAACUUACAAAUCUGCAAUUUAUGCAUUAAAGUAAAGUGGACAGGAUGGGGACAGUAAGACUGAAAAAGUUAGUGAUGGUGAGUUAGUUGAGAGACAGGGAGGAGAGGAGGAAGAUUGGGAUGGGGGGA